AAAAUAAAAAAGACACAGCAGAGACAGAACAAGGAUUGUUUCCCCAUUACAAUUUGCCCCCUUUUAUUAUUUUUGUUUUCCCCAAUAGUGAGUUUAUUGGGAAGUAUCUGCAUUGGUGAUGGAAAUCAACACUGAGCUUGGAUUGUAAGGAUUUUCAAUCCACUGAGCUUCUCCGUUCUCCAGCACAUCCCCCCAACUCUACACUAUAGGGGAAGGAAAAUGAGUGUUGACAGUUCAGUCUAAGCAGAAGAUACUUCUUUGUGAAAUCUGAUGAGUGAAGAGAGAAGACAUCUGGGGAAUCCAAUGAAAUGACCAGCCAGAAUCCUCUACAGUAAAGCUAACAGUUGACAAGUGCUAGUGUGAACUCAGCUUUCAAACAACUUUUUAAAAAGGAGGAACUCUGAUGGGCUAUUCCAGCUCCAAAGCUUCCUGUGGGAUUGACUUUGGCAACUGCAUCACAGUUUGGCAUCUCAAUCGGUCCAAUUCUCCUCUCCUCAUUUAAAGGAAAAGUGCUCUGCAAGGGAUGGAGAUUAGUACCUAAAUGUGACCAAGGUGAGAAGACUAAAAAUGGAGUGAUUACAGCUGAAGAUUAGUCUUGGAUAAGUUUUCUGAAGGGAGAAGAAAAUAAAAUACCAAGAAAACAAACAACAAAAAAGAGUUGAACAAAAAACCCCUGCUAUGUUAAACACGCAUAAUGCUCAAAUUCUAAAGAAUACACAUUUACUGGAUUAUGAACUCUUGCAAGUCGGCGCAUGUGUGAGUACAGACAGGCUCUCAUCUUGCUCAGCGGAGA